UACGGGGGGAGCAAGCGUUGUUCGGAUUUACUGGGCGUAAAGGGCGGGUAGGCGGCCACCGCAAGUCAGUUGUGAAAUCUCCGGGCUUAACCCGGAAAGGUCAACUGAUACUGCGGGGCUAGAGUGCAGAAGGGGCAACUGGAAUUCUCGGUGUAGCGGUGAAAUGCGUAGAUAUCGAGAGGAACACCUGCGGCGAAGGCGGGUUGCUGGGCUGACACUGACGCUGAAAUGCGAAAGCUAGGGGAGCGAACGGG
rnacentral:rRNA from 1 species